GACGAACGCUGGCGGCGUGCUUAACACAUGCAAGUCGAACGGAAAGGUCCUGCUUUUGUGGGGUGCUCGAGUGGCGAACGGGUGAGUAACACGUGAGUAACCUGCCCUUGACUUUGGGAUAACUUCAGGAAACUGGGGCUCAUACCGGCUAGGAGUUCCUGCUGCAUGGUGGGGGUUGGAAAGUUUAGGUGGUUGGGGAUGGACUCGCGGCUUAUCAGCUCGUUGGUGGGGUAGUGGCUUACCAAGGCUUUGACGGGUAGCCGGCCUGAGAGGGUGACCGGCCACAUUGGGACUGGGAUACGGCCCAGACUCCUACGGGAGGCAGCAGUGGGGAAUAUUGCACAAUGGGCGGAAGCCUGAUGCAGCAACGCCGCGUGCGGGAUGACGGCCUUCGGGUUGUAAACCGAUUUCGCCUGUGACGAAGCGUGAGUGACGGUAAUGGGUAAAGAAGCACCGGCUAACUACGUG
rnacentral:rRNA from 1 species